AAUUUCUCUCUCUCUCUCUCUCUCUUCUCU
rnacentral:sRNA from 1 species